rnacentral:rRNA from 1 species
CCCUUAGAUGUUCUGGGCAGCACGCGCGCUACAAUGGUCUUCGCAAACGGAUGCAUUCUCGAAGGAGAAUGCCAAUCUUGGAAUCUAUGCCUUGGUCGGGACAGUUGCUUGCAAUUUUUCGACUCGAACCAGGAAUUCCUUGUAAUCGUGAUUCAUCACAUCACGAUGAAUACGUCCCUGCCCUUUGUACACACCGCCCGUCGCUUCUACCGAUCGAAGAGUUAGGUGAAUUGUUUUGAUCGAUAAGAUUUGACUAUGGUCAACUCUCGUCGUGAAAUUCUGUGAAUCUGACUGUUUAGAGGAAGGAAAAGUCGUAACA